UUGAAAUAUUCAUCAAUGAAAAAGUCUGGCGACAAAUUGCUGAAAUUUAACAGUCGACGCGAUAUGGUAACCACCGUGCUUAAAAUAUUGAGGAUAUUCCGUAAAUGUUCACUUGUCACAGCGAACGACUGGCGUUCCCCGCACCUGUCAUUUUCUUUUCUACCUCGGAUACGUCGUAAUUCAAUAAUAAUAUCGUAAUGUAUGCCUGUCAUUUAACGAAUGACAGUUAUAGCCGAUAGUCGAGGAUGAGAAGGAGAUAGACCAAUCGCUUCGUCAAUGGAAAAGUAAAAUGCAUACAUAGAAUUCUAAAAGGGCUGACGGUACAAUACACGAACUACUAUUAAUACAAUUGGCGCCAAAUCAAGUGGUCAACCAGAGCCAUUCAGGCACAGCUCACUAAAAAGUCUAGCUACUUUGCUGCUGGUAGCUUGUCUCCUCACUACGUCUGAUUGUUUCUUUCAAACCUUUUGAACCUGGAUUUUAGAUGUGAUUUGGUACUGGCUUUCGUUAACGCAUUUUUCUUUUCUGAAUCAACUUUGGACAAAACUAAAAGCAAAAAUGAAAACAAAUGAAAAGCAUUGUUGCCGGCACAAUGACGGGGCGAGUCUUUCGACUCUUGUUUCUUUUAAUUUUUAAUCGAUGUGAUGCUGGGCGGGCAUCGUUGUCACUAGACAGUUAAUUUUUGUUAUCCAUUACCGUAUUUUAUGUUACGCAUUGACAUUUACAAUAAAGCACAAAUAAUGAUUGAAAAUGACGUGCGUGAAGUCAGUCAAAGCCAGCGAAUUACGAAUAUAAUUCGGAACGCGAGUGUUUUAUUUUUUGAGUUAAAGGCCCGAUGGAAGAAAGCGCACUGAAAAAUUCAGAUUGCGAUUGUGAGAAAACCACCUAUCUGACAAUCCCCGCUUUUUGCACACAUAAAGAACAUAUCAAUCGCUACUUGUUCCCAAAAGGCCAGCGUCUCAGUUUAAAAAAUGGCGGAGAUACGAAUUUGUGAAGAAACGCUGAAUUUUCCGGUUUUCUAGAUUUUUCUCCGUUCCUCAUUAUCCGAUCGAGACGUUCGACGUCUCAUUCUGUAAGUAUUUUCAUCGCCUAGAUUUUAUCUCCUUGGAGCAUUGAUAUUGCUGCAUUACUUUAAAAUUUAUAAGCAAAAAACGACAAAAAUCACGAUUUUUUAGCAUUAAAUUGUAAACAACAAGAAAACGGAACAGAGUUGGGAGUGAAAAACAUAUACCUAUUAAUCUACGCAUCCCCUUUUAUGUAACAGCACAAUCAGUUUGCUGUUACUAUUUUUGUCACAAAAACGCUGUUUUAAUUCUCUACCAAUUGGCCUAUAUAUUUGUGAUGAAUUGUGCCGUAAACCGCAAGUCUGUAAGUCAAAGAGUACUCAUGAAAAUAGACCAAACAAAAUUUUUGAUAGCCCCGCACUUUUCCAAUUCGGAGUUUUUCCUUUUUGUACCGUAUUGUGCUAUGUUUGUGCUGAAUUGUGCCGUAAAUAAGAGUUUCAUAGCAUCAAUAACAAUUAUGUGCAGAAAUAAAACCUAAAUUAUACUAGCCCCGCACUUUUGCCGAAACAAACUUUUUCUUCUAUAAAAAGAUGCGUUCUAACUUGUACUAUAUUGUGCCAUUGAUAGAAACUCAAUAUCUCUAUUCAUUUUGCAGAUAAAAAAUGUUGAAUUUUUAGAAAUAAAAAAUUUAAUAUUCGCACAAUUUGCGAACGGCGACAGCUAAUCGAAUUUUGCAAGAUGUGCUAAAUUGUGCUAUUACGAUACACGAGACACGUGCGUUAAGGAUUGAGAUUAGCUCGAGGGUCAUCUAAAAUUUAUAAAGAAAGGUGGAGGUGAUUAAAAAUAUGGAUAUUUCUGAAUUUUCUUUGAUUAUGCCGGAUUGUGCUAGACUAGCACAACAACUUUUCGUUAUUACAAAAUCGCAUUCGCAUUCGCACGCGCUCGCGUGUAGCGGAGUACAGUAAUGCCUCGAUAAAUGCACAAGCUCGGGAUUGAAACUCUGCAUUUAUCAUUGAGAUCCUACAUUGUUUGAUCUUGAAUCAGAAU